rnacentral:rRNA from 1 species
CAUGGUUCAAUAGUGAAAGACGGCCUUGCUGUCACUUAUAGAUGGAUCCGCGCCGUAUUAGCUAGUUGGUAAGGUAACGGCUUACCAAGGCAACGAUACGUAGCCGACCUGAGAGGGUGAUCGGCCACACUGGAACUGAGACACGGUCCAGACUCCUACGGGAGGCAGCAGUAGGGAAUCUUCCGCAAUGGGCGAAAGCCUGACGGAGCAACGCCGCGUGAGUGAUGAAGGUCUUCGGAUCGUAAAACUCUGUUAUCAGGGAAGAACAAACGUGUAAGUAACUGUGCACGUCUUGACGGUACCUGAUCAGAAAGCCACGGCUAACUACGUGCCAGCAGCCGCGGUAAUACGUAGGUGGCAAGCGUUAUCCGGAAUUAUUGGGCGUAAAGCGCGCGUAGGCGGUUUUUUAAGUCUGAUGUGAAAGCCCACGGCUCAACCGUGGAGGGUCAUUGGAAACUGGAAAACUUGAGUGCAGAAGAGGAAAGUGGAAUUCCAUGUGUAGCGGUGAAAUGCGCAGAGAUAUGGAGGAACACCAGUGGCGAAGGCGACUUUCUGGUCUGUAACUGACGCUGAUGUGCGAAAGCGUGGGGAUCAAACAGGAUUAGAUACCCUGGUAGUCCACGCCGUAAACGAUGAGUGCUAAGUGUUAGGGGGUUUCCGCCCCUUAUGCUGC